UGAUGGCAACUGCUGACAACCGAGAGAAACGUCACUGAGCGGAAACGGUAAAGCAGUAAAGCUUAAGUGUACUGAUUUGGCUCGCAGUUAGCUGUGCCGAUAGACCGUUCUAUAUCGUUAGAAAACUAACUAAAAUACCGUAGCCUUUGAACAACUUGUGAACGGAGAGCUGUAACCGUGUCAAGCUAGAUCGGUGCAUAAGAUAACGUGCGCUAACACCUGUCAAGGCUAAAAAUACGAGGCUCGUUUGAAACCUUGCUUGUCCCGAACGACAAGAAGCAGAAACCCACAAAACGUGAGUCUCUUAAGCACAUUUCAUAACCUAAAUUGAACCUUUGAACUCAUUGUUAUAUAUCACAUUACAGGAAAAUUUAAUUUCUAAGAGAGAAUAAAGAAAUUCAGAUUUCGGAAAUCGUUUCCCUUAUUUGUCGUUAGAACAACAGUAACGGUCCGAAAAACUGGUCGCUUAUAUGGAGUACUCGGUUUCUUUAAUGAUCUAGAAAAAAAAAUAAAUACUGUGUAUUCUGUGCCACUUCGGUAAAUCAGAGAGCACUAA